UGCAAGUCGAGCGGCAGCGGGGAGUAGUUUACUACUCUGCCGGCGAGCGGCGGACGGGUGAGUAAUGUCUGGGGAUCUGCCUGAUGGAGGGGGAUAACUACUGGAAACGGUAGCUAAUACCGCAUGACCUCGCAAGAGCAAA
rnacentral:rRNA from 1 species